rnacentral:ncRNA from 2 species
CUGCCUGCCAGCGCCGAUUUGUUCCGGCUUGCGGGCGCUCUACAAAUACAGCUAAAGGGGGGCGGUCGAAACCCG